rnacentral:lncRNA from 1 species
UUAAGGAGAAAAACAAUUGUUCUCCGUCUUUGGGGGACAUGAUAAUUAGAGAAAAGCUAACCACAUCAGUGCCAUUAGAAAGGAUUUUAAAGUUGGUUCAUUUGUCUUUGCUGCCCUGGAAGCAAAUAUUCAACAUUUCCCCUGUUGAUAUCAAUCGUUUGCUCAGCAAACUUUCUUAAAGAUUAAUAAUGUCAAGUUGAAAUUUUGCCUGGCUUGUCUAGAUGAUCUCAAAAAGCAGAGCAGGCAGUGAUGAGUCAGGGGGCUUUCCUGGGAGCCACUGCCAGUCACAGAGCAGGAGCCCGGGUCUUGUAUGGGUGCAUGCCUGGCUUCUAGGAAUGUUUGUCUUUCUUGUUACUUACACCAAGCAUGAGAUAACCAGAAGAUUGGUCUUCAGCUGGCAAAAUAAAUAUGUGCCUUCUGUGCCUCGUGUCUGCUCUCUUCUUUGCUUCCUCCUUUCUUCAGGUGCCUGUUCUCUUAUAUCCCAGCAUUUCCUCUGCCCUAUCACUUUAGCCCCUAGGAACUUGGUGUGUGUGUUCUGCUUGUUUUUAUGGUAGUGACUCAACAUCAGUGUGUUUGUGCAGCAGGAUCUAGAGAUGGCAAAAUAAGUAAAACUGAAUUCCAGUGAGGAGAAUGUGGGGAUUCAUUUACAAGUCUCUCUCUGGGUAGUGUCUCAUAUAGCAAAUGGCUGGUUUUGAAUUUACUGUGCAGCAAGGAUGACUUUGAACUCCUGAUCCUCCAGCCUCAAUUCCCCAGGUUGAGGUACAUACCAUCUCUUUUAGCUUUGUUCCCAUUUUCAGAUUCCCCUCACCCCAACCCCAAGGACUCAGGAUGCUGUUCAGUGGAAAAUAAUUGCCUAGCAUAUGCUAGAC